GAUGAAGAACGUAGCGAAAUGCGAUAAGUAAUGUGAAUUGCAGAAUUCAGUGAAUCAUCGAAUCUUUGAACGCAACUUGCGCCUUUUGGUAUUCCGAAAGGCAUGCCUGUUUGAGUGUCAUAUAAACCUCACCUCUACUGUUUUUCAUUAGACAUGUGGACUGGUGCUUUGGGCGUCUGCCGUUUACUCUGGCUCGCCUUAAAUGUCUAAGUGGAAUGCGUAAUAAGUCUUCGCAACCCUCCACUCUAAUACAAACUUUUAUAUUCUGACCUCAAAUCAGGUAGGACUACCCGCUGAACUUAAGCAUAUCAAUAAGCGGAGGA
rnacentral:misc_RNA from 1 species